AGUGAACGCUGGCGGUAGGCCUAACACAUGCAAGUCGAACGGCAGCACAGUAAGAGCUUGCUCUUACGGGUGGCGAGUGGCGGACGGGUGAGGAAUACAUCGGAAUCUACUUUUUCGUGGGGGAUAACGUAGGGAAACUUACGCUAAUACCGCAUACGACCUACGGGUGAAAGCAGGGGAUCUUCGGACCUUGCGCGAUUGAAUGAGCCGAUGUCGGAUUAGCUAGUUGGCGGGGUAAAGGCCCACCAAGGCGACGAUCCGUAGCUGGUCUGAGAGGAUGAUCGGCCGCACGGGAACGGGGACACGGUCAAGGCUCCUGAGGGAGGCACCAGUGGGGAAUAGGAGGCAAUGGGGGGAAGCCUGAUCCAGCCAUACCGAGUGGGUGAAGAAGGCCUUCGGGUUGUAAAGCCCUUUUUUGGGGAAAGAAAAGCAGCAGGUUAAUACCCCGCUGUUCUGACGGGACCCAAAAAAAAAGCACCGGCUAACUUCGUG
rnacentral:rRNA from 1 species